UCUAUACAAAUAAACAAAAAGUAUAGGAAAGUAUAUAAAGAAACUAUUAGGGAUACCUGGCUAUAUAUUAAAGAGAGUCACCAACAGGAAUUAAAAAUUUAAAUUGUGAAUAAGCCUAAACCUAGGCUUAUCUUUUUCACAUGUACUCUUAGAGAAAUUCAAUAAUAAACGAAGUGAAUCGAAAUAUCUUAGUAACUUCAGGAAAAGAAAUCAAACGAGAUUCUAUGAUUAGUGUGAAUGAAAGUAGAAAAGUCUAAUGCAAGUAAAACGGGCAAAACCUGUUUGAACAUAUAGGGGAACCUUCCUCUAAGACUAAAUAUAAUAUAUAAGCGAUAGCGUAAAAGUACGGUGAAGGAAAGGUUAGAAAUAGUAGUUUUAUAAGCAGCUCGAGUUAAAUUUAAAUAAAAAGUAAGAGCGUACCUUUGGCAUAAUGGGUCAGCGAGUUAAUAUUAGAUGCGAGCAGAAAUGCCCAGAUAAACCAAUUAUGAAAUAAUGAAUUAGUAUCUAAAAUUAGACCCGAAGCCUGGUGAUCUUACUACAGUCAGGGUUAUAAAAGCCCGAACGGUUUAUCGUUGUAUAGAUAUCCGAAGAACUGUGGUAAGUUAGUGAAAGACAACACUGACUAGGAUAGCUGGUUUUCUGCGAAACCUAUAUAAGUAGGUAAUUCAAACUACAUCAUAGCAGGUACAGAACUGUGAUCUCAGGCAACUACUAUUUUAAUAUUUUAUCGGCUAUGCUUUUUAGUUAGCCAUAUGGAUAUGAGAUAAUUUUGCAUAUAUCGGGGGAUCGUGAUGAUUUUAUCGGUGAGUAUUCGCACUCGGAAGGGCAAUGAUGAAUAUUGAAUAAUCGGACAUAGUACGAUAAGGUUGUAUGUCUAAAGGGAAACAGCCCAGAACAAGAGUUAAGGUUCCAAAAUUAUUGUUAAGUGAAAUUAAGGAAGUUUCUAUCUAAUACGACUAGGAAAUUGACUUAGAAGCGGCUCAUUUUUUGAAGAUCUCGUAACAGAGCACUGGUUUAGUAAUUAUUUAAUUACUUUGAUAGUUGCACCGAAAAUUUAACGGAUCUAAACAAUAUACCGACACCUUGUCCAUUUAAUAUUCUAUUUAAACAGUAUAUUUAAUGGGGUAGCAGAACGUUGGGUAAAUCUAGACUAUUCUUUUUAAGAACAUUAGUUGUAUAGAGAUUUAAUAAUUUAGCAGAACACAGUUGAAGUAAUUAUUGAUAAUUAUUUUAGCUGCUCAACUACGUUGAAGUUGUGUUAAAUUGGUUUCUUUAAUGAUAACCCAAGUGAGAAUGCUGACAUGAGUAACGAAAAGGGGAAACCCCGCCUAAAGCUUAUGGUUUUUAUAAAGUAACGGCCUCUAAGUUUACCAACCUAAGGGAUUAAACGAUGAGCAAAACUUGGUUACAAAGUAACAACCGAUUGCAUAACAGUGAAGAAGGUUCUGGAAAAACAGUAACGGUAGUUAUAAUAUGAGGGUUUAUUUUAUUAAAAUUAUGCAAUAAACUCUAAGUCUAAACUAGACUAUAAACCCAAAGCUUUUAAGUAUUAGAAAUAAUAUCUUAAAAUAGCCUGUUUUUUUUCUUGCUAUACUUCUGGCGAAGCACAGCAUGAAAAAAUAGGCUAUAUUUAGCUUAAUAAUAAAUAUUCAUGUAAUAAUUACUAAACCCCACCAUAGGUUCCAAAAACCGUACCUAAAAACUACCACAAGUAAGCUAGUAGAGAAUACGAAGGCGUUUGAGUGAACAAUCAUUAAGGAACUCGGCAAACUAACUACCGUAACUUCGGGAUAAGGAGAGCCAUUCCUCCUAAUUAAUAUUAGGUAAAGAAUAGGAAGCAUGGAAUAGUGUUGUACGACUGUUUAAUUAAAACAAAGCACUCUGCAGUAAGAUAAUAAAUCAAAGUAUUGAGUGUGAUUUCUGCCCGAUGUCGGCUGGUUAACGGAUUUUCUAAGUUGACUAAUAUAAGCUUGGUUUUGAAGGAAACCCCGAUCAAUGGCGGCCUUACCUAUGAGGGUCCUAAGGUAGCGGAAUACCCUGGCCGUUAAAUGCGGUCUUGCAUGAAUGAUUUAACGAUACAACAGCUGUCUCAAUGAUUGGCUCAGUGAAAUUGGAAUAACUGUGCAGAUACAGUUUACCUCUAGUUAGACGAGAAGACCCUAUGCAGCUUUACUGUUACUAGUAAUUGGAUAUGAUAUUGUACGAUUUUUAGAGAAUAAGGUAGAAAGUAGAGGUCCAAAAUUGAAACACCUUUAUUUAUAUAAUCAUAUUGGUAGACAAAGUCUACGUCAGAGUAUAUGGCGUUAUCCUCCGUAGGAGGUGAUGUUAAAUAGGGUAGAAACUAACCUCCGCUCUCCAUAAAUACAAUGAUUAACCUUAAGGGAACAAUUGCUAGGAGGCAGUUUAUGCGGGGCACAGAUCCCAUAAAAAGUACCUGGGUGUAUCCAAAGUUAAUUUGGUAAAAUUGUCGUAAUUUUAAUAUAUUAUGACAGAAAAAUAUAGCAUUUUUCUCUACGAAGUCUGUAGAGAAAUUGGGUAUAUUUUGCUUUAUUUUUAGUUUGUUAUUUGGUAUAGCUUAAGCUAUAACCAAUCCAGCUAUAUAUCUAAUUAAGUUAGAACUAACAUUUUUAAAUCAAGUAAGAUUUUAACUAUAUGGAAAAUAGAUGUAAUUAAAACAUUAGUUUUAAAUUUUUAAUGUUUUUAGUUAUAUUAUUCAGUAUGCUAUUAAAAAAAACAUAGGGAUGUCUUCUUACGAAGUAUGGAAACACCCCUUUAUGUGAAUAGUUAAGAACACUAAUAAUAUAAUUAUGUUUAUUACUUGUCAAGUUUAAUGGCUUAAUCUUGCUUUACUGUUUGACUUACACGUCUAUCAGU
rnacentral:rRNA from 1 species